CUCAGUUCGGAUCGGAGUCUGCAACCCGACUCCGUGAAGCUGGAUUCGCUAGUAAUCGCGCAUCAGCCAUGGCGCGGUGAAUACGUUCCCGGGCCUUGUACACACCGCCCGUCAAGCCAUGGGAGCCGGGGGUGCUUGAAGUGCGUCGCCGCGAGGCGCGCCCUAGAGCAAAACCGGUGACUGGGGCUAAGUCGUAACAAGGUAUC
rnacentral:rRNA from 1 species